GUCACAUGACAAGAUUGGAGGGAAACGGUGGAAGACAUUUUGUGUCUAAGCUUAAAAAAUCAGUUCUUGCUCACUCUAGCGUGGAUUGCUGCCUCAGCCGCAAAUUCUUGCGUAAAGCCGAGCCUCUGCCCUGGGAAAGGAACCGGAUUUUGGACAACUCCAAAGUUUGCGAUGGCACUGCGGAUUGCCCAUACGGAGAGGACGAGAUCUGCACGAAGUAAAUAGAAAACCUCACUGAGGGCCCUAUGGCAGAAAAGUGACCAGCCAGGCAGCCCCAAAUAGUAUAUGGACCGAAGCCAUUGGGCCUGAAAUGAGGUUUUCUAUUUCUUAUAUUAUACCGAACAUUUUUGUGCA